CUCCAUGCUCGGCCCAAUUCGUUAAAAACCGGAAUGCCGAAGAGUUCGCCGCCCGAUAUCCCGGAGCAGCUGCAGCGAUUAUAAAUCGACACUAUGUCGAUGAUUAUUUCGAUAGCGUCGACACGAUUACCGAAGCAGUGCGGUUAGCAAAGGAGGUGCGAUUCGUCCAUUCGAAAGCGGGCUUCGAAAUUGGGUGUCAAACUCGCAAGAAGUGCUGCAAGGUUUGGGAGAAGAGAAGCCGUUGGCGCCGGUUCAUUUCAGUCCAGACAAGCACACCUCCAAUGAGCGAGUGUUGGGAGUGAUCUGGGAUCCGGUGUUGAACGAAUUCGCCUUUUCAACGAAGCACCGCGAAGAGGUUCUGCCGUAUCUGUUCCAAGGAAAAAGACCAACGAAAAGACUCGUUGCCAGCUGCGUGAUGGGGUUUUUCGAUCCACUGGGGCUGCUAUCACCGUUUACCAUCCACGGCAAAAUAAUCAUCUAGCAACUGUGGCGUUCCAAAUGCGAUUGGGAUCAGGAGAUCGAUGUCAGGUGCUGGGAAUUGUGGCAGCGCUGGACCGGCCUGUUACCGGAAGUGGAAGCAAUUCGAGUCCCACGAUGCUAUUUAGUCUGCGCGUUGACUACCGAAAUCGAGUCGUUGGAGGUACACAUCUUUACAGAUGCUAGCGAACAUGCGUAUGGUUGUGUGGCGUAUUUGCGUGCCGUUGUAAGAGGAGAAGUAUUGUGCAGUUUGAUGAUGUCCAGAGCCAAGGUAGCACCGCUGAAACGACAGUAAAUACCUCGUUUGGAGUUGAUGGGCGCAGUACUGGGAGCCCGGAUGUCUCAGACAAUACUAAACACACAUUCGCACAAGUUCCUUCGAACCGUUUUCUGGACAGAUUCCCGGACCGUAUGCAGCUGGCUACAUUCGGACCAGCACAAGUAUAAACAGUUUGUAGCUUUCCGGGUUGGAGAGAUAUGGGAGCUAACUAAAGUGGAAGACUGGCGGUGGAUUUCGACAAAGCUCAACAUCGCUGACGUGCUGACGAAGUGGGGACAGGGUCCUCCAUUGAAGAGCGAUGGAGCGUGGUUCAAAGGACCAGCCUUUCUUUACCGGUCGCAAGCGGAGUGGCCAUCAGACGGGGCAACGCUUGACGAAACGAAUGAAGAUGCGAGGGGAAUAAUACUCUUCCAUGGAGUGAUUUCCGUUGAGAAGAUAUCCCGCUGGACGAGAUUGCUACGAGUGACGGCAAGUGCAGUGCGUUUCGUCGCCAAUUGCAGGCGAAAGAUGAAAGGAGUCCCAAUACUGACUUCGCAGGCCACCACGAAACAACAAAGAGCGAUUGAACGAGUCGCAGCAGAACAUGUCACAGUAAAAACGCCGCUUACAAAGGAGGAAUUGCAACAGGCAGAAACCAUCCUGUGGCGACAAGUACAGUGGGAUAGUUUUCCGGAUGAAAUGAGUGCGCUCUCAAACAACUUGAAGCUAGAUCCGGGACAGCCGAUAGAAGAGGUUAAAAAGAGUAGCCGUAUCUACAAAUGUUCACCGGUGCUUGACGACGAAGGUGUGCUGCGUAUGGAUGGUAGGCUAGCAAAUGCGGGUGAAAUAUCUUUCGACAAAAAACAUCCAAUCAUCUUAUGUCGUUCGCAUGGAAUAACCGCGAAGUUGAUUCAGCACUACCACGAGGAGUUUGGACAUGCGAAUUCGGAAACCGUGUUCAACGAGAUGAGACAGCGAUUUCAAAUCCCGAAACUGCGCUCAGCGAUUCAACGUGUGGUAAGAGUUUGCGUGUGGUGCAGGGUGAACAGAUGUCAGCCACGAAUCCCGAGGAUGGCUCCUUUACCAGUUGAGCGAGUGACCUCUCACUUGCGACCCUUUAGCUCGGUAGGGAUUGAUUACCUUGGCCCAUUAGAGGUAACGGUUGGUCGUCGAAAGGAGAAAAGUCGUUUCCAGAGCAAGUUUGGUAAACCAGCCCACAUCUUUUCGGAUAACGCAACAUGCUUUAGGGGCGCGAACAACGAGAUGAUGCGAAUGGAAAAAAUCAACCACAAGUCAGCGGAAAAAAUCGUUAGCCCCACCACUGCCUGGCACUUUAAUCCACCCAGCUAACCGCAUAUGGGUGGUAUCUGGGAACGCAUGGUGCGCUCGGUCAAGGAGGCAAUGGCUGCGUUGGACGAUGGUCAGAAAUUGACGGAUGAGAUCCUGGUGACGGCAUUGGCGAAGAUAGCGGACAUGAUUAUUACGCGCCCGUUGACAUAUUUACCACAAGACGCUGGAGAAACUGAAGCGCUGACUCCAAACCAUUUUCUGCGAGGAAUGGUAACCGGUGCUGAUUUGGAAGGGAACGAUGAAUCGACGAACCAGGCUGAAGUUUUAAGGAAUGUGUACAAACGCUCGCAGUAUCUAGCCGACAAGAUGUGGGAAAGAUGGAGGAAGGAGUACUUGCCCAUGGUGAAUCAGCGAACAAAGUGGUACUUACGGCUCAUAUCGUUGUCACAUGUCACAAGCAUACCAAGAUAAACGAAUUCGUCAACCACUUCAAAUCGUUCCCCAUCUAUCUCCACCUCAGCACCAACACCACGGGGACUCCCACGCUCUCUGACAGCUACCAUGUACUUCGUUUUGGCAGAGUUAAUGACAAGUCCCAAGAAGCAUGUGAGAUUUUGUGAUGAUCGUACCGUUUCUUUCGACGUUUGCUCUUCGUACUGCACCCUCAAGAGCGAUGUUAAACAGUAGGUUGGUGAGUGCAUCCCCCUGCUUCAGUCCAUCCAACGUCACGAACGCGGCUGAUGUCUCGCCAGCUAUCCGCACGCACGAUUUUGAUCCCUCCAGUGUCAUGCGACUCAGCUUUAUUAGUUUCGCAGGUAAACCGUGUUCCAGCAUGAUCUGCCACAGCUCGUUUCUUUUCACUGAGUCGUAUACUGCCCUGAAGUCCACAAAAAGAUGGUGAGUCGAUAAGUUGUACUCCCGGAACUUAUCGAGGAUCUGUCGCAGGGUGAAAAUUUGAUCCGUCGUGGAACGCCCUUGUCGGAAACCAGCCUGGUAUUCGCCAACAAAAGAUUCCGCUAGCGGUCUCAAUCUGAAGAACAGGAUACGGGAGAGCACUUUAUAUGCGGAGUUGAGCAACGUUAUCCCUCGAUAGUUGCCACAAUCCAAUCGAUGGCCCUUCUUAUAGAUAGGGCAUAUGAGGCCUUCCAACCAGUCGUUCGGCAUUUGUUCGUCCGCCCAGAUUCUUAGUAUUAUCUGGUGGACCGCAUAGUACAGCCGCUCGCUUCCCGCUUUUAGAAGUUCGGCCGGGAUACCGUCCUUCCCAGCGGCCUUGCCGUUUUUCAGCUCACUAAUCGCCUUUUUCACCUCCUCCUGUGUUGGUGGCUCCACAGCUUGUUCGUCACUCAUAAUCGUCAUCCUGUUCCUGCUCUGCUCAUCCGGCACCUCACCGUUCAAUAGCGCCUGAAAAUGCUCCUUCCACCUGGCUGCAAACGUCGGUUUAUCAGUAAGCAGGUUGCCGUCCUUGUCAUUACACAUGACCGGCACCGGGAAAUUCCUGCUUCUGACUCUGUUGACAGUUCUAUAGAAUCUCCGCACGUCGUUUUGAGCAUAGCUGUCCUCUGCGCCGGCGAGCACCUGCUCCUCGUACUCGCGCUUCUUCCGACGGUGGGUUCUAUUUUCAGCAGCUCUUGCCACCCUGUACCUCUCUCUGUUCUGACGCGUAGCCGCAGUGAGCAUGCGGCUCCUGGCACGGUUCUUCUCAUCUGUCGCUCUCUGGCACUCGGCAUCGAACCAGCCGUUAGGCUGCCUUCCACGCGUCGUACCUACCACCUCUCUCGCAGUCGUUUCGAUGGCGCCGUGAAUACUGCUCCACAGCCCAUUUAUGUCUUCCACUCCUUCCUCCUGCUGUUCUGCGAUCCGUUGAUCCAGCUCUCUGGCGUAUUCUGCUGCCACGCCAUCAGCUUUCAACUGCUGAAUGUUGAAACGCGUCGUCCUCUCUGUGCGAGAUUUCAGCACGUUCGACAACCGUGCGCGGAUCUUACAAACGACGAGAUAAUGGUCAGAGUCAAUGUUUGGUCCCCGAAAAGACCUAACAUCAGUAACAUCCGAAAAGUGCCGACCGUCAAUCAGUACGUGAUCGAUCUGGGAGCAGGCUUCUCCAUUUGGAUGCCUCCAGGUGUGUUUCCGAAUAUUCAAACGUGGAAAAUAGGAGCUACAUAUGGCCAUUCCUCUGGCCGCGGCAAAGUUUAUCAGCCUCAGGCUGUUUUCAUUGGUUGACGAGUGGAGGCUAUGCCUUCCAAUGACCGGACGGGAGAAUUCCUCCCUCCCAACCUGUGCGUUUGCGUCUCCGAUGACGACUUUUACGUCGUGUUUUGGGCACUCGUCAUAGAUUCGCUCAAGCUUGUCAUAGAACUCAUCUUUGACUUCAUCGGAUUUGUCGUUUGUCGGUGCGUAGGUGUUGAUUAAACUGUAGUUGAAGAAUUUGCCCUUAAUCCUCAACACGCAUAUACGGUCAUCUACGGGCCUCCACUGGAUGACUCUUGUUUUCUGAUUUCCCAGCACUACGAAACCGACGCCCCGUUCCGCUGCUUUGCCGCCACUGUAGUAGAUGUGGUACUUGAGGGAAGUGCAUGCAAUAGGGUCUACUGCACGGAAUUCCCUUUCUCCGGAAUUUGGCCACCGAACCUCCUGAAUCGCUGCGAUUUCGACUCCCUGCCGCUGUAGUUCUCGAGCAAGCAAGCCAGCCCGCGCCGGUUCAUUGAGAGAUCGGACGUUCCAAGUACCCAAUUUCCAAUCGAUUACCUUAAUCUUUUUCCGUGUUCGUAGCCUAGGUCUUUGCCGAUUGAUCCGUUCCGUAUUUCUAAAAUCGUUGUUCGUGGUUGAUGAAAGGUUUCGGUAUGCUACCCUACCGGGGUCGCGAUACCUACAUCCUGCUGAUGGGGCUGCCAUCUUAGGUGUAGCUGGCGGGAUACAGCAUUCCAUAAUUCAGCCGCCCGCUCCGGGUCAGACGCUGUUGUACGCCGCCCUUAUGGGGAUACAGCCGCGUACGACCCCCUUCCCAGUCAGCAUACGACCAUAGUUUCCACCGGGGUUGGUUACCCGAUCUCCGUUAAGGUUACUCGUAUUCCGGUCGGCACCACGUGGAGGUUGGGAUAGGAGUUGCUGGACAGAGGUGAAUGGCCACAUUAGGGUCUCAAGUUACACGUGUCCAGCCAUUUGCCAACCCGAACAAAGUGGUUCGGUGAACAAAAACCGAUCAAAAGGGGUGAUCUGGUGUUCGUGGUAGACGGUAAGAACCGCAAAGGCUGGAAAAGAGGAAUUGUGGAGGCGACAGUUAAGGGUUCAGAUGGACGGAUAAGACAGGCGGACGUGAGAUACGCUGAUGGCAGCAUACACAGACGCGGCGUGGUCAACUUGGCGGUGUUGGAGAUUCGAUAAAUCCGGAAGUAGCGGAUGUUACGUGCUGGGGUGUUACAACACCGCAGGCAACACUGGAGUCGUUUUGGAUGGCGUUUGACAUUUAUGCUAAACGUUUGAUGAACAUGAAAGAUAGGUAAAGAAUAAGUAACCAGAGAGAAAAAGCAAUAGAUUUAUAGCAAAAACAUAGAGGAUAGGAAGUAAACAAAUCGCCAUUACAAGUGAAUAGUAGAAGUUAGGAAAAUAAAGUGGAAAAUUAUUACUAUCUAAAUCGAGUUAGCUACGAGGAUCAAAAAAAAUCGCGACAGGUGUUACAAAACUGCUCCUGAAAACUUGUGAAAAAUUGUGAGUAGAGUGCAGCCUGAAGAAAUAGUUAUUUAGUGUAAAUUCGAAAAUAAAUUUGAUCCAUUGUACUUACUCAUAGAUACAGCGUUCGUCGGUAUUUCCUGAAAUCUAAAUUAAUAGAUACUUACCCUGGAAGUUUUGUUCGUCCUGUAGUAGGUAGCUGAAAUAAAUAGGUAAUAAGAAAAAUAUCUUUAUACUUACCAAAAUACCAUAGAUACAGAUUCUGCAAGUGCGGUUCGAUCGGUGUAGAGUAACUCCCCACAAAUUGGUCCAAAGCACAAAUAACAUUGGUGAUAGAAAACCAUUAAGCGGUAGAUAGGAAAGCAGGAUCGUAAACGGCUAAGGUGAAUCCACUUCUUGUAAGUCUUAUGUAAUUUCAUAUUUAAACUUAGGCUAAUAAUCAAAAUAAAAUUGCAGUUUGAGCUUGAGUUUUCUCAACAUGUUGUUUUUCAUUAUGGGACAUUUAUUCCGGUACCGGCAGCAAACGUUCGGCUCAACCCCGUUGGUGUUAAGAAAAUAACCGCAUCGACACAGAUUUCUGCAGAGGAGAAAUUUAAGAAUGAAGGCAUGUUCUUAAAUGUUCCUAAAGAAAAAAUUCACUAAGAGUAAGAACUAAGUGAUUAUCAACUAAAAAUUCAAAGUAAAAAUUGACAUUAUCUUCCAUUUAAAUUUUGACAAUUCAUUUGAUUUUUUGAUGUAGAAUACGUCUUAUGACACCAUAUACAGGGUUCCGAUUUCAAAAACCGAAAACAUCGAGAGCGUCACGAAAAUUGUCCAUUUUCAAACGCUUUAAUCUCAGUCAGUUUCCAACCGUUUUCCUUCAUUCUUUCAGCAAUCGGUUGGAAAAUCAUCUAUGCACCUGCCUAAAAGAAUAUCAGGAACACUUGUGUAAUUUGAGUUGUCGCCAGUAAAAGAGAGGCCGACUUUUUUAUUGGCCCUGACGACUCUGUUGACAUUGGAUUGGUUUUUACUUGCGAAAGUGAAGGAAGGAAAUAUUUUUGCUUUUGUUUUCACACAUAAAUUGACAAUUGCAUAUGAAAAUUUGCGUAGGUGCGAACAGCCUUAAAAAUCUCUUUUACUUGUGUCAGGGCCAAUUGCAUCAGCUUUUAUAGGUUAAACUUGUAUAUACUUUUGACUCUUCGUUGUUGUCUUCUCUUAUGUAAGCUGCGAUGACAGGUAAUCGGUAAAGGGGUUUGGACUUUGAUGCUGGAGGUAUAUUAAACCGAAAGGUAAUCUUACACUGCCCAACGCAGAAAAUCGUGAUUUAACUAUUGUAUUGUUGGAAAUUGUCAAACCUCGUCGAAACGCAGAUUUCGACCUCUGAUUGGUUAACUGAGUUUUGAAGUAGAAUACUUCUCUCAGGAAGUUUGGCUACAUAGGGAUGUGAAAUGAAAAUCUAAAACCGAAAAAAGUGAAAAAUAUGUCCAAUUUCAAAUGCAAAUAAAUCGGUUAGUAUUCGAUGGAUUUCCUUCGUUCUUGCAGCAAUAGAUUGGAAAAUCUUCUAAGAUUUUUCCCAAAAGAAGAUAAAUGUAAUUUUAUUAUUCACACUAUUGUGCUAUUGAAAAUAGUCAAGCCUUGUCAAAACGAAAAAUUCGACCUCUGAUUGGUCGUUAUAUGUUGCUUCCCAAGCACGGUCGACAGAAUCAUAUACCUUGCAAUUGAAAACAUGUUAUUUGGCCUAUAUAAGAGCCUGUUUCAGCCGAAGCCGCUCAUAACAGUUCUAGACAGCGACAACAGCAGUCGUCCUUCCUUAGCAGCAGCACUAGCCCUGUGGUUGGUCACCACGUCUCAGGAGUAGCGCGGUUCUUCUCAGCGUGUGUCGCCAGACUGCCAUUAUUCCCCCCGUGUUGGGGCAGCAUGAAGAUUGCCAUCAGGAAAUCUAAUUUUGAAAAUCAAAAUACCUUUUUUAAGGAAAAUAAACAAGUCAUUGAAAGUUAAUAAAUUUUGACAACGCAAGCAAGCAUUCGUCGCGCCCGUGUAAUUCACUGAAUGUGUAAUAGCUUCCACAGUGCAUGAUGUCCGUGUAUCCUAAUUCCCCCACUGUUAGGGAAGCUCAAAGGUUGCGAUCAGCAACCGAUUUUGAACCGCAAAAUGCCUUUUUCAAGGCGAAUAAACAAGUAAUUGAAGGUUUAUAAUUUGCUGGCAUCAACACAAGCAGACAUUCUGUGCGGGAUGCAAUCAAAUUCUGUUGUAGUUGUCUAAUUUUUACUUAAUUUAGUUAACCGCCCACUGUAAAGGCUGCGAUUAGCAUAACCGACUUUGAAUUCACAAAGACAGUUAGGUCGACUAUGCAGAGCUAAUAUGAAGUCGAUUCAAUCAAUCAGCAUGAACAGAAUUUCGUCGUCUCCCAGUUGCCAAGUUGCAACAUGAUGCAACACGCAGCAGCGAGCAAACGAAAUCGCUAGAUGUUACAAACCGUAAUAAGAUACGGGUUAAAACCGUUGCGUGUGUAAGAGCACCAUUGGUGUUUAUUCGCUGGAUACAAAAAUCAAAUGCGGAUUGUGGAAUAAUUCGUCUAAAGAACAUUAGGAAAUGUUGAAACUGAACUGAAAGGCGUGGCCUAUUACGUAGCACCCUUCGGCUAUAAAAGAGUGUUUCUGCGAAAACUAGCUACAUUCAUUAGUCGGAAGGUGAACUGGAUGAACCGUCCACAACGUUGACAGCAGUAGCAGCAGAUAUCGGCACUCAGCAGUAACAGACCAUAGCAGCGGGUCGCGCUGUGGCUGCCUUCAAAUUAAACACUUGCCCUGUGGUUGGUCACCACGUUUCAGAAGCAGCGCGGUUCUUCUCAGUGUAUGUUGCCGGACUGCCAUUAUUUCCCCACUGUUGGGGCAACCUGAAGAUUGCCAUCAGGAAAUCCAAUUUUGGAAAUCAAAAUGCCUUUUUCAAGGCAAAUAAACAAGUCAUUAAAAGUUAAUAAUUUUUGACAACGCAAGCAAGCAUUCUGUGUUGGAUCCUAGCAAUUUAAAUCUGUCGCACCCGUCUAAUUUACUGAAUGUGAAAUAGCUUCCACAGUGCAUGUUGUCCGUGUAUCUUAAUUCCCCCAGUGUUAGAGCAGCUCAAAGGUUGUGUUCAGCAGCCGAUUUUGAACCGCAAAAUGCCUUUUUCAAGGCAAAUAAACAAGUAAUUGAAGGUUUAUAAUUUGCUGGCAUCAACGCAAGCAAACAUUCUGUGCGGGAUGCAAUCAAAUUCUGUUGUAGUUGUCUAAUUUUUACUUUAUUGAGUUAACUCCCCACUGUAGGGGCAGCGCCAAGGCUAGUGAUAAGCAUAACCGACUUUGAAUAACAAACUGCCCUGUUAGAACGCGUUCACAAAGACAGUUAGGCCUCUGCCAUGGUGAACGCGAACGCGAGCGAUGGGGCGAGAAACUUGCCGUAGGAAAAUAAACAACUCUCUUUACGGCUGUUCGGCAUUCUGGAUUUUGGCAAUCAAAACUUCUGCUGGCUGUCUGAUUUUCAGUGAGAAAACAGCCUUCAACUUUGUUGUCAGAGUGCCUGACUACGGUUUGGUAAUACUGUUUGAGUUAAAUGUUUACAAAAUUUUACAAUAUUCCUCUUUCUCCCGUUCAAUAAAACAGGUAAUACGAUGCCUUCGUCAUACGCAAGUUCACCAUAACUCCCGCUUUCGUCGUAACACAGAGAUGCAAUCAGCGUCAUAUCCGAUUUUAAAUUCAACAACAAACUGUCAUUUUUAGGACAACCAAACAAAUGAAUUGAAGAUUUAAUAUUUUCUCGUUCUGAGCUUUAACCAAAAGUUAAUUAUCUUAAUUUGAAUUCACAUGUACAUAUACUCUGACUGUUGAAACUUGCUUGCGCCGUAAAGAGUUUGUUCUUUUCCUGUUCAGUGAGGUCGUAUUAAUAUGUGUAAACUGAAAUUGAAUAGUACUUCAACUUCAUUUGCACAGAAUUUUCAAUACUGCCAAUGAGCGGUCAACAUUUAUUUGAUAGGAAAAAUGACUGACACGCAAGCAGCCGGGUUAUCUUUCUUGUAAAAGUAUUCUACUUCAACCUUGCGGUCGUGGCUUUGCAUACAACCUUCCUGUGAUUUUUUUACCUUGUUAAGUGGGGAGAGUGCAUUGCGCUAAAUGUAUAAUUCAUUCCAAGGCUAUAGCGAUUCCAUACGGACAUUGAAUGCUGAUCGUGCUAAAGAAAGAAAAGCCUGGUUUCAAUUAGUGGCUAGUCGCGCUGGGCUUAAGCACCCGUCUAUCUGCCGGCUGUUGUGAAGUUUUUGGUAGGGCUGCAAAAUUACUAGAAAUUGUAGGAAAUUCUGCUAGAUUUUUCGAACUAAAUUUCUAUUUUUAUUAACAGCCUUUACCCAUUAACACACAAGUUCACAAGUGAUGCGGUAUAUUUUUCCAAAUCUAUCAUAUUUCCAGUUCGCUUAUUUUUCGCUUUCCCUACUGCACAUACUGUCUGCUCAAUGAACUCUGCUUAAGUUAACGAGAGAAUUAUAAUCAUCGGCGAAUGGCAAUCCGAAAUGACGAUGAAUUGAACAAACUUGCCGGUGUUGUUACAUUUGUGCAAUACAACUGCACCUUUUGGUCCCCCAAAAUUUUGUAAUUGAAGUAGUUGAGAUUUAUUUGCCAUUCGCCAAAACGUUGCUGAUAGUGAUAAAAAUCUUGCAACAAGCGUAUAAUUGCAUUCUCGUUUUUUCGUAAAACACAAUGGUACCUCUUGGUGCCCCAAAAUUAUAUAAUUGAUGUACCGUACAGCAUACUUAUCACUCUCCUCAGUAUGUGGAAAGAGCGGAGAAACAAUUCCCUUUCAGUAUGGGCCUGCGUGUAGCAAAUGCUUUCACCAUACUGCUUCUUUCUCCACUCCAAAGUGUCUCAACGAACUUACAGAGAGACAAACACACUUCCAGCUCACCCCACAUUUGAUAGAAACAAGCGUGGUGAAUCACUCUACAGAGAAAACGCAGAAGUACACCUCAGUGUUCACUGGCGAGUAGUCCGGAAAGUGAAAAAAAACCUACCGGGCAAAAAUGUAGUCCUCGUGCAGCUACACCGCGAAAACGAAUUCGACCAGAGUAAACUCGACCGGUACGAGCAACGCAGUCUUUUUUUUCUACCAAUCUCGUUUCCUCUUCUGACAUGCACAAGAAACAAACUGUAAAACGCACCGCAGAUAGCUCUGCUGUGUAAUUUAUGUGCGUGAUGUCUAUACGUGUGAGAAAGUACACCAUAGUUCAUUGGCUCGCAAGAGUGUGAUUUCAGAUUUCACCGCGGUGCUUUCAGGAAGCUCACCAGAUAAAAAUCGUUCGUCGUCCUCUUCUAUCAUGUGCGUUGAUUUGCUCUUUAGUGUGAGAGAAGUAGUUUUCGCAGUGCAAGAUGUUCUCCUGCACUCUAGAGGUUUUCUGAGAAGAAAAGACAAGCAUACCGGACAGUGCCCAUUCACCGUGAGUUUAAUUCACCGCUCACUUUUCACUAGGAAGUUACAUGAUAUUCAGCAACGCUUUCCUGAAGGAUUGGGAAAAAUAUUUUUCGUGAAGUGUGUUUUGUUAUGGAAAAAAAUAACUUCCAACUAAAAAGCGAGUGGUGAAUGGAACCCUGACGGUGAAUGGGCAAUUUACGGUAGUUAAGAUUUUUCAUACUUGUAACAGAAGUGAAACUGCACAUUUCCUCAUUUGCAAGACAAGAAAAAAUUAAGCACUGCUUUAAGAUUGUAACCGAUUUUAAUUCAUACUUGGCUGAAAGAAUGAAACAAUUCACUUGGAGCUAAUGGAUUUUGUAACAGCUUAGCUCCUUUGGACACGUGCGUGCUUAGAUAGCACUCUUGGCAACAGCAAACGUACGGCGGUCUGAACUUCGUGGGAAGAAAUGGUAGAACGACUCAUAUACUCCAGUGAUAACAUUCACAUUUUUAGUAAAAAACACGUCAAGCUUUAAUUUAAUGAUCGUAAUUGGUUCUUCCUCAGGAAAACUAUGUUUCUAAUUCAUGUAAUUUAUUCUUGAAAUCGGACUUCUCACUUUGGUAUACGAUAUAGCACAAGCUUGACUUGUAUAAUAAGUAUAUAGCAAUCGUUGGUAUAACAAAGGUGCCUGCUGUGGUAGGUGGAUUAAUCAAGUUUUUUUUUCAAUAUUAAUACACUACACUCUAAAAAAUAGGCACGUAAAAUCCUCCUGAAAAAUCACGUAAAUGGCUGACUUCUGACUUUCACCUAAAUUUCACGUGCGAUUCACUGUCAAUUCACGUAAAUUGGUCAAAUUAUAAUGUAAAUAGUUUGAGCGAGUUGGUAUUUGUGUGUUUUGACUUUGUUAGUGUUAGUGCGACUGUGGUGUGACGUUUCCGACAACGGAAUUUACGUAAAUUUUUAGUAUGCAAAAAGUCAAUAUGGCGUACAAAGAACUCCUAGGCUACUUCAGCUAAUUCUAUAUUGGAAAACACGCAAUGUAGGUAGCCCGAAUAAUAUUUAGAUUAACAGAAGAAACAAAUACAUUUUUCAAAUUUUCAGUUGGUGAAUUCUUUUCGGACGAUUGGAAUCGUGAACGGUCAUUUUUAAGCGGAACAGCUCCCGCCGGUUGAUCGGUCAACAUCUUUCCGGCCAUUCCUGUUUUUUUCCUGCCGGAAAUCUCGAUUUUAAACAAAUAUGGGAUACCGCUGGCCAGGAGAGGUUCAAAGCCUUACGUACACCUUUUUAUCGUGGAUCGGACAUUUGUUUGCUAGCGUACGCUGUCGAUGAUAAGUCAAGUUUUCGAGCGUUAAUUCAGUGGAGAGAGGAAUUU